AUCUAGUGCUACAAGUACUAUAGUGCCGUUACGUUACGGCGGUAUCGGCAUAUAGCGAUAGCUCAACUAUCUUCAAGCUCGCCAGACGGUUCUGGCUGGAGAGCCGAGCGAGCGAGCGAGCGAGCGGUCGACGGGGGGAGGAGGCGUUGGCACGUCGGCCUCACCGACGACCCGUCUCUCCUCGCCCUGCACUGCACCGCACCGCACCUGCAGUAGGCGGCGUGUCAAUUUGAAGCUUGAGCGACGUCCUCCCCUCCCGGCCAACGCCCGGCCGGCGUAUCAACCGCAGGUUCGUUGCCAGGUCAUUUUCGGGCAGAAAGGCUUUAGUUUCCAUGGGGGCACAAGCGUCGACGCAGUGUCGAGUGUGUUGUCUCUCCUCGCUCGCCUCGUCUCGGAGUUUCCAUAGACGGAACGAAAUUCCUGGAUUCACUGACAGAAGCAGGCCAGAGAGGAACCAACCGGUCGCUGGCAUGGCACUCCGUCCAGCUCGAUCGAUCGCCUAGGCCCCCACAGGAACCUGCAGGUUGUGUUCCCCUCUAGCUGAGCUUGCCCAUGACUCUCGUGGUGGUCCAUGAACUUGGCCUCCUGCUGUGACGUCCACUGGAAUAGGUUCCGCGACGCCCUGCAUGCACGCAAGCAAAUUCGUGUCUUGUGCAAUGCGUUUUGCACACGGGUGAGGCUCAAUUAUUGUGGGUGGGCGCAGCUCUCCUGAUUUUGAUCGCGUCCACCGGUUGCCUUAGGUCAUACCUGGCAAACGCAAAAUAAAUAAAUAAAUAAAUAAAUAAAUGGAGAUGAGGGAUUACCAUGAAGGCAUAAACUACUACAAAAGUGCAUGGUGGGAAAUGUAAGUGUUUAAUGCAUGAACAGUCACACAAAGAGUGUACAACAUUUAUUAUAAAUACAGUCAAGACACACGUCCGUACAUAUUGUACACAACAUGUAUGUUGUAAGUAAAUCUAAAGUAAGCAUUGGAUGCAAAAUUAUUUAUAUUAACUACUUUAUUCCUUUGAAAAAUUAUUUUCUUCUAAGUAUGCCAUGCACGUACAUAUUGUUCAAGUCAAAUUAAAAGCUUACUUUAGAACUCAAUAAUCAUUACCUAUUUGUUUUAGUAAAAAUAAUUUCUAGGGAAUAAUCUUUGUUAUAAUAUACUUAAAUUUGAAACUUUUAGGGGACAUUCAUAAGUUUAUUAUUCAAUAAUUGAACUCAUAAGGAUCUUCUCAUUUAAUUUUUUAUUAAAUCUUUUAUUAGGAACCACUUUUAUUUAAAUCUUGGAAGAAUAUUUUUUUAUUAAAUUAAAAAUAAGAUUUUGGGUGUUACAGAUGGAAAGCUAAGGAGAUAAGAUUUCCAACUCAAUUGAAACCAACUUAGGGCUUGUUCGUUUUGACGUGAAUCCAAGUGUGUUAGAUGGUAUUGAGUCAGUUUAAAUCCAUAACAGGUCAAAAUACAUCUCAAUCUCACCUAAUCUACUCUAAUCCACAUGGAACAAAAAUAACCGAACAAGCCCUUAAAGUUCCUUCGGAGUCGAUGGUAAUCGUCGAAACAAGUCAGCGCCGUCUUUUUGGACUGUUGGCCCAUGUAUCAUGUUGGUGUCCAUUAGGGGUGCGUCCAUGGGACUUGCACACCCCUAAACCCAAUUUUAUCAACAGUAGCCGCCACAAUUAGGGUUAGGUUUUGCUUAGAUUCAUUUUGUCAUCGAACAGUAUCACUGUUCAUCGGUUUGUGAGACCCCGUCUUGUGAUCAAUACAAUUUUGGUUGUGUUCUUCCUGUUGUUGAUUGUGUUCUUGAUUGUGCUUGCAGGGAUAAGACUCUAUGGCGAGGUCGCUUAUGUGACAUGGGUGAUAACCAACGGAGGAUUGAUGUAGUGUUUGCGAUGAUCUAUUUGCUUGUUGCAUUGGAUCAUCAAUGUUCAGAUAUCCACCCAAUCAAGUUAUCCUACCUCACGAAAGAUCGGUCUCGUCCAUCUAUCAUAUAUUGCAUUUGCAUGAGGAUUAACAACAAUUCCGAUACAAGAAAUAAAAUCUUUUCAAAAAGCGUUUUGAAAAAGAGGCUAGGUGUUUGUGGCGCGGACAGUCUAGGCCAGUAGGUCGGACCGUCCGUGAUCAACUCAGAGAGGUCCGAAGAUUGGUGUUCUUCGGAGUGGUCCAAAGUUUUUGUACUACGAACUAUCAGGUCCUAGUGGCCAGACUGUCUGUAGCUCUGACCAGGAAGGGUCCCAUUUUGCACAAGUCCCUAAGUUUUUGUGUGCAUCGUCCGACCAGAGUCAGCGCAUCGUCGACAAGUGUUCAAUUCGGUUUGAGUAGGGACUGUGUGG
rnacentral:lncRNA from 1 species